UACAGAGGUGGCAAGCGUUGUUCGGAAUUACUGGGCGUAAAGGGCGCGUAGGCGGUUGAUUAAGUCCCGUGUGAAAUCCCUCGGCUCAACUGAGGAACUGCACGGGAAACUGGUCGACUUGAGUUCGGGAGAGGGAAGCGGAAUUCCGAGUGUAGAGGUGAAAUUCGUAGAUAUUCGGAAGAACACCAGUGGCGAAGGCGGCUCACUGGACUGGUAUUGACGCUGAUGUGCGAAAGCGUGGGGAGCAAACAGGG
rnacentral:rRNA from 1 species